rnacentral:rRNA from 1 species
GAUUAACGCUGGCGGCGUGCAUAACACAUGCAAGUCGAACGAUGAAACUUUACUGACUUCUUCGGAAUGAUUUAAAGCGGAUUAGUGGCGAACGGGUGAGUAACGCGUGAGUAACCUGCCUUACACAAGGGGAUAGCCUCUGGAAACGGAGAAUAAUACCCUAUGAAACCAGACAAUCGCAUGAUAAUCUGGUCAAAAUGUUUAGUGGUGUAAGAUGGACUUGCGUCUGAUUAGCUAGUUGGUGAGAUAAAAGCUCACCAAGGCAACGAUCAGUAGCCGGCUUGAGAGAGUGUACGGCCACAUUGGGACUGAGACACGGCCCAGACUCCUACGGGAGGCAGCAGUGGGGAAUUUUGCACAAUGGGGGAAACCCUGAUGCAGCGACGCCGCGUGAUUUAGAAGGCCUUCGGGUUGUAAAAAUCUUUUGUAUAGGAAGAAAAUGACAGUACUAUACGAAUAAGGGCCGGCUAAUUACGUG